rnacentral:rRNA from 1 species
CCCUUAGGUGUUCUGGGCCGCACGCGCGCUACACUGAUGCAUUCAACGAGUCUAAAACCUGGUCUGAUAGGGCUGGGUAAUCUUUUGAAUGUGCAUCGUGAUUGGGAUAGAUGAUUGCAAUUCUUCAUCUUCAACGAGGAAUGCCUAGUAAACGCAAGUCAUCAGCUUGCAUUGAUUACGUCCCUGCCCUUUGUACACACCGCCCGUCGCUCCUACCGAUUGAAUGUUCCGAUGAAUACCAUGGACUGAGAGUAUGAAUGGGUUCGCCUAUUUCUGCUUCUCGGGAAGUGGAGUAAAUCUUAACAUUUAGAGGAAGGAGAAGUCGUAACA